rnacentral:rRNA from 1 species
CUACGGGACGCAGCAGUAGGGAAUUUUCGGCAAUGGGGGAAACCCUGACCGAGCAACGCCGCGUGAAUGACGAAGUACUUCGGUAUGUAAAGUUCUUUUAUUAGGGAAGAAUGGCAGGUGGAAAAACCUGAUUGACGGUACCUAAUGAAUAAGCCCCGGCUAACUAUGUGCCAGCAGCCGCGGUAAUACAUAGGGGGCAAGCGUUAUCCGGAAUUAUUGGGCGUAAAGGGUGCGUAGGUGGUUAUUUAAGUCUUUGGUGUAAGUGCAGUGCUUAACGCUGUGAUGCUAAAGAAACUGGGUAACUUGAGUGUGGUAGAGGCAAGUGGAAUUCCAUGUGUAGCGGUAAAAUGCGUAAAUAUAUGGAGGAACACCAGUGGCGAAGGCGGCUUGCUGGGCCACAACUGACACUGAGGCACGAAAGCGUGGGGGGCAAACAGGAUUAGAUACCCGCGUAGUC